GCUCAGCCGUCAACAAAGACAGUAUAAAAUACAACACUGUUCGCCAGAGAAUUACAAGCUAAAGCUAAAAACCCCAAGGACUUGGCGGUGCUCCACAUCACCCUAGAGGAGCCUGUCCUAUAAUCGAUACCCCCCGAUCCACCUCACCAUUUUUUGAAACUCAGCCUAUAUACCGCCGUCGUCAGCCUACCUUAUGAAAGAAACACAGUAAGCAAAAUAGUCACCAACUAAAACGUCAGGUCAAGGUGUAGCAUAUAAAAUGGAAGAGAUGGGCUACACUCUCUCCCCCAGAGAACACUAACAGCAUCAAUGAAACACUGCUCAAAGGUGGAUUUAGUAGUAAGACAAACAAGAGAGCUUGUCUAAAACCAGCCCUGGAGCGCGC
rnacentral:rRNA from 1 species